rnacentral:rRNA from 1 species
AACGAACGUUAGCGGCGCGCUUAACACAUGCAAGUCGCACGAGAAAGGGCUUCGGCCCCGGUAAAGUGGCGCACGGGUGAGUAACACGUGGAUAACCUACCCUCGAGCAGGGGAUAACAUCCCGAAAGGGGUGCUAAUACCGCAUAAGACCACGGCUUCGAAAGGAGCUGAGGUAAAAGCUGGCCUCUAUAUAUAAGCUAGCGCUUGAGGACGGGUCCGCGGCGCAUCAGGUAGUUGGCGGGGUAAUGGCCCACCAAGCCUAAGACGCGUAGCUGGUCUGAGAGGAUGAUCAGCCACACUGGAACUGAGACACGGUCCAGACUCCUACGGGAGGCAGCAGUGGGGAAUCUUGCGCAAUGGACGAAAGUCUGACGCAGCGACGCCGCGUGUGUGAUGAAGGCCUCGGUCGUAAGCACUGUGGGAGGA